rnacentral:RNase_P_RNA from 1 species
GGGACAGACCGCCUUAUCGCCGUUUUGUUCCCGAUAGCUAUCGGGACAAGAAGGAGGAAAGUCCGGACACCACAGAGAAGCAUAGCGGGUAACACCCGUCAUUCGCCGCGGCGAAUAGGACAAGUGCAACAGAAAGUAUGUACAGGUAAUGCUGUAGUGAAACCAGGUAAACUCUAUGCGGUGAAAUACCAAGUAUAUCAGCAUUUAAGGGUUUCUCGUCCGUUGUUGAAGGGUAGGUAGCUUGAUCUUGUUGGUAACAACAAGGCUAGAUAAAUGAUAAGGGUUCGCCUCGGCGAAUACAGAAUCCGGCUUAUAGGUCUGUUUUUUUU